rnacentral:misc_RNA from 1 species
UUGACUUAUUGUAUAAGUUACUCAGAGAGGCCAAUGAUGACUAAGAGUUGCGGGCCUCUGACGGGUUGCCGGGCCCCGGGGAGGGGCCGGCGCGGCGCUUCCGGUGAGGGGGCGCCACCCGCCGAAGCAACGGUGAGGUAGGUUCACAAUGGUUGGGAGUUUUGCAACUCUGUAAUGAUCCCUCCGCUGGUUCACCAACGGAGA